AAACGGCCGCGUUAGCGUGAGCGUGCUAAGGUAGCGUAAUAAAUAGCCUUUUAAUUGGAGGCCAGUGAAUGGCAAGACUGGGGAACUUAUACCAUGCGUGAAAAAAAACUUUUCAUUUGAGUGAAAAGACUUAAAUACCAAAAGAAGACAAAAGACCCCGCGGACUUUACCUUUUCUGUAUAUAUGCACAGAAACACUCAAAACAAAGGUUUGAUUGGGGCAAUCUCGGAACCAACCAAACUUCCAUUUACAAUAUAAAAAAAUAUGAAAUUAAUAAAGACAAAAAGAAGUUACCCCGGGGAUAACAGCGUAAUCCAACUUGAGAGUACGCAUCGAAAGUUGGGUUUGCGACCUCGAUGUUGGCUUAAGGAUAUCCACAUAAGUGCAACC
rnacentral:rRNA from 1 species